GGCUUGAUAGGCGCUGGGGAGGGUUAGGCGGGGCGGACCGGGCCUUUCGUAAGGCCUCCGCGUUGGGGCCGGGGCACGUUGGUGUAGGGUCACCCCCCCCUCUCUUACUCCCUUGGUUUUGUUGCAUUUGGUUUCGUUUUGUUUAGAUUUUUUGCAGCUGCUUUUGUCGCACACAGAAUUACCUCACUUUCUGCUUUUUACGUGAAGGGAUGGAGUCCCGUCAGCCUCCGUAAGCGCUGGGCCCGCCUUGUGCCCCUUCCGCACGCGAGCUUCUCUCACCUCAACGCUGGCUCAGUCCUGCUGCCGCUGACUCUGCCCCUGCGGGACUUCCCGCCCCUCCGCGGGAGGAACGCGGCUGCCCCUUCCCGGGGCGGGAGCCCGGGCGCCGCCCGGAGGGGACCCAGCCGCCCGCCCGCCUUCCCCAGGUGACCGGGGGGGAUGGGAGGUCGCUCACUGCCCGAGCUCUGACAUGCAUCACAGCGGCUUGAAGGAAUUCUUGAGAGGGAUAGAGAGGAUGCGCUGCCUGCGGAGAGGCUUUUUCUUCAGUUGCUUGUGAAACAUCUAGCGUUGACACCGUAGCGUGCUAUCUCUGAGGUAUCCCAGUCACAAGCAGAACCCAGUUGGGCUUCUGGUAUAAAGAAAACAAAAUGAUGCCUUCCCCAAAAGGCUUACGGUUGCUCUUUGCACCUCCUUGAAAUGCAGCAACAUUAAAUAGCUUUUUUAAAGUUUGAUAAACUGCUGGAGAAGAUGCUGCGUUAAACCCCAUAUUCUGUUCUAGCAUCGUACACUGAGGCAUAUUCAGGCAAUUCUUUAUACCCACUUAAAUAGUAGGGGACCAUUCUGUUUAAGAGCAAGCCAAGGAGUUUUUAGAUUCAGGGUAUCCACAGAGUGCCAUCAGUUUGAGCUUUUAUCCCUGUUUUCCUUGUUUGAUACAGUCAUAAAACAUGGAAUCUAAGUCACUUUCAGACUGAAAAUAUUUUAAAGCUUGGUAUUUAGAAUGCAAGGUUUUCCAGAAGGACAAAAGCAGAAUCUGUUGAUGAAGCAAGGUCAUGCUUGUUAGAUAUUUUAAACGACAGAGAUUUAAAUUACUAUGAUUAAUUAGAAAGUUGACUGCUCAAAUUAAACAAUCAGUUCCUUUGUCUUUGGACAGGAUUUUAAAUACUGAACAUUAGUCAUCAGUCAUGUGAGGAUUUAAACAAGCACUUAGCUUUAUGCAAUUUGAGUGAUUAGUUCUAUUCAAGUGAAUAGUACUGUGCAGAGCGUGUAAGGUUUAGCACAUCUCAAACCCCCAAUUGUACAAAGCUUUAACAUGUGACCCGAAAAGUGAUUUUUUUUUUUUCAAGGCUGUUUCCUAAGAAACAGUGUUUAUGCAGUCACACGUGUCUAUCAUCUACUUGUUCCCCAUCAUCGGGGGAAGGGGAAUGGUCACCAGCUUGUUGGCCAAUUUCAGCUAGUUUUCACAGACGAAUGGAAAUUUCAAAACUAAUUUAGCUUGUACAUACUUGGUGAAAAUAGGUGGCUCUGUAUAAGAGAGAUCUUUUACUUGCAUAAUGAAAGCAGCUGCAGGAACUGAAAUAUUAGACAUUACAAAACCUUUAUUUAGAUGAAUAAGAGAAAACAUAAUACCUAAUUAACCCACUUAGACAAAAAGGUUCAGUUAAGACUUAUGACCAACCCAAAGGUGAGCCAUUACUGAGUUUUGUUGGGUGUUCAGGGUGCUUUUAGAGGAAAAGAAAACAAAUCUAAAUCUCUUGUGGGCAUUAUCUGAGGUCUGCUAAUGAAGACCUGUGGUUUAAUACCGAGUUCACCAUUAAAAAAGGGGGAGUGUCAAAUGUCUGCUUGAAUAAAGCUUACCUUUUGGGAGCGUGCUUGCUUAGGUCCUGCAAAGUUCAUCUUCAUUUGGGUGUUCAUCUGCUGCACUCUCUUCCUGGAACCAAAAAUGUUCAUCUUAGAAGAACCUGUAUAUAAAACCAGUGAUAUGCCUACACAUACGUAUCCCUCUGUUUUCUGUUAGCAAAAUAGGAUGAUAACCAACAUACAUUGAUAGUGUAGCCUAGAAAAUAAGGUUAAAGGCUUUGUGCUGCUUUUUUCCUUUGCUUUCUAGCAUAAAAAUGGGAAUAGAAGCUCAAAGGCAUUUAGAGACCACCUACCACAGAAAUUAAGCUGUAACGUGGGAGGAAAUAGAUCAUAAAUAUCACCAUAUAUGAAAGAAAUGAAAGAUACCAGAAUGGAAAAAAUAUCAGGGCUGAAUCUGGCUGGGUUAUUUGGAUGCUGCAUGCUGCCAGGAAUUGUGGAAUCGUCGAACCCAGCAGGGUCCCCGUCUGGUGUAGGGUUGACAAAGUGGUUGUUACCUGUUACCAGCUGCAGCUCUUGAGCUGAGACAGAGUUCUGUAGGUCAGAUGCUGCUCUGGGCUCCGUGGGAAUCCCUGAGUUUGGCACCUUUUCUUCAUGGGGAAUAAAAAUACGGUGUAUCAACCAUACAGCAUCAAAGAAAACUAUUACUCGGAACAGUGAGCAAUAAUCCUCCCACACUGAUUAUCAUUGCCUGUAGUCUUACACAGUGGAAGAUAACUGUUGAUGCAAGCUUGCAGUCUUGUCAAAUGAAGGAGUUUGGAGAGUAAUAUAAGUAUGGAAAUACAAACUCUGGUGAUUUUAUACCACACAGAAAUCAGUAGU